UACGGGGGGAGCAAGCGUUGUUCGGAUUUACUGGGCGUAAAGGGCGCGUAGGCGGCCACCGCAAGUCGACUGUGAAAUCUCCGGGCUUAACCCGGAAAGGUCAGCCGAUACUGCGGGGCUAGAGUGCAGAAGGGGCAACUGGAAUUCUCGGUGUAGCGGUGAAAUGCGUAGAUAUCGAGAGGAACACCUGCGGCGGAAGGCGGGUUGCUGGGCUGACACUGACGCUGGAGGCGCGAAAGCCAGGGGAGCG
rnacentral:rRNA from 1 species